GCGCGAAAACUUUACAAUGCUGGCAACAGCGAUAAGGGAACCUCGAGUGCCAGGUUACAAAUCUGGCUGUCGAGAUGCCUAAAAAGCAUUUCAUAGCAAGGGCCGGGCAAGACCGGUGCCAGCCGCCGCGGUAACACCGGCGGCUCGAGUGGUAACCGUUAUUAUUGGGUCUAAAGGGUCUGUAGCCGGCCGGAUAAGUCUCUUGAGAAAUCUGGCAGCUUAACUGUCAGGCUUUCAGGAGAUACUGUCUGGCUCGAGGCCGGGAGAGGUGAGAGGUACUUCAGGGGUAGGGGUGAAAUCUUGUAAUCCUUGAAGGACCAACAGUGGCGAAGGCGCCUCACCAGAACGGUCCUGACGGCAAGGGACGAAAGCUAGGGGCACGAA
rnacentral:rRNA from 1 species